rnacentral:rRNA from 1 species
CCUACGUGGGGCAGCAGUGAGGAAUAUUGGUCAAUGGACGCAAGUCUGAACCAGCAAAGUAGCGUGAAGGAUGACUGCCCUAUGGGUUGUAAACUUCUUUUAUAUGGGAAUAAAACGUUCCACGAGUGGGAUUUUGUAUGUACCAUAUGAAUAAGGAUCGGCUAACUCCGUGCCAGCAGCCGCGGUAAUACGGAGGAUCCGAGCGUUAUCCGGAUUUAUUGGGUGUAAAGGGAGCGUAGGUGGAUUGUUAAGUCAGUUGUGAAAGUUUGCGGCUCAACCGUAAAAUUGCAGUUGAAACUGGCAGUCUUGAGUACAGUAGAGGUGGGCGGAAUUCGUUGUGUAGCGGUGAAAUGCGUAGAUAUCACGAAGAACUCCGAUUGCGAAGGCAGUUCACUGGACUGCAACUGACACUGAGGCUCGAAAGUGUGGGUAUCAAACAGGAUUAGAUACCCGUGUAGUC